GACGAACGCUGGCGGCGUGCCUAACACAUGCAAGUCGAACGGAGUUAAGACUUCGGUUUUAACUUAGUGGCGAACGGGUGAGUAACGCGUGAGGAACCUGCCUUUCAGUGGGGGACAACAGUUGGAAACGACUGCUAAUACCGCAUAACAUGUACGGAUCGCAUGGUCUGUACAUCAAAGCUUUAUGUGCUGAAAGAUGGCCUCGCGUCUGAUUAGAUAGUUGGUGAGGUAACGGCUCACCAAGUCGACGAUCAGUAGCCGGUCUGAGAGGAUGAACGGCCACAUUGGGACUGAGAUACGGCCCAGACUCCUACGGGAGGCAGCAGUGGGGAAUAUUGGGCAAUGGGCGAAAGCCUGACCCAGCGACGCCGCGUGAGGGAAGAAGGUCUUCGGAUUGUAAACCUUAGUCAACAGGGAAGAAGCAAGUGACGGUACCUGUGGAGGAAGCCACGGCUAACUACGGUG
rnacentral:rRNA from 1 species